UACGUAGGGUGCAAGCGUUAAUCGGAAUUACUGGGCGUAAAGCGUGCGCAGGCGGUUUUGUAAGUCUGUCGUGAAAUCCCCGGGCUCAACCUGGGAAUUGCGAUGGAGACUGCAAGGCUAGAAUCUGGCAGAGGGGGGUAGAAUUCCACGUGUAGCAGUGAAAUGCGUAGAGAUGUGGAGGAACACCGGAUGGCGAAGGCAGCCCCCUGGGUCAAGAUUGA
rnacentral:rRNA from 1 species